UACGAAGGGGGCUAGCGUUGCUCGGAAUCACUGGGCGUAAAGGGUGCGUAGGCGGGUCUUUAAGUCAGGGGUGAAAUCCUGGAGCUCAACUCCAGAACUGCCUUUGAUACUGAGGAUCUUGAGUUCGGGAGAGGUGAGUGGAACUGCGAGUGUAGAGGUGAAAUUCGUAGAUAUUCGCAAGAACACCAGUGGCGAAGGCGGCUCACUGGCCCGAUACUGACGCUGAGGUGCGAAAGUGUGGGGAGCAAACAGG
rnacentral:rRNA from 1 species